AUGCCGUGGAAUUUAAGUCAGCCUACACCAUUUCUACAAAAUGUGGGUGAGCCGCCGAUGCCAUUUAAGGCAUGGAUUCGUGUUUCCGAGAAUUAUGUCUUGGCCAUGGAUGAAGAGCUAUCAGACGCCCGAAAACGCGCUCUAUUGAUUCACUGCCUGGGGGCAGAAGGCCAGAGACUAUUUUACAUGCUCACGGUUGCAGAUGAUAAGUACGACACAGCAUUGCAAGCUAUUCGCACAUUCUUCGAGCCAAAAAUGAAUGUGGUAGCUGAACGGUACAGAUUUCGCCAGCGAGGACAACGGCAUGGUGAAACUACGGAUCAAUAUGUUGCGGCGCUAAAGGAGCUUAUGGCUACAUGCGAAUUCGGAGCCAUGGAGAAGGAAAUGAUCCGGGAUCAACUUGUUGAAAAAACUAAUUCAAAUCGCAUACGGGAAUGUUUACUCCUAGAGGUGGAUCUUACUUUGAAAAAAGCUGUCACAAUUGCCAGCCAAAUAGAAACGGCAGUGGCGGAGGCAAAUGUGAUGAGCAAACCGGCAGAUGGCACAGUACAAGUGAUUCAACAGUCACGUCAUCAGCACAAUAGAUCUGGCCGCGAAACAGGGAAAAAUGCACAGACAUUACGAGGAGCAACGGCAAUGCACUCAUCUACAUUCCAAGGGAAAACGUGUUACAGGUGUGGGUCAAAACAGCAUAAUGCCAACUUUCAAAAAUGCCCUGCCAAAGACGAAGAAAAAAGGAUCAUGUAUGGCGAGUGGCGCGUUACAGCUGAACUGUUCGUUGUGAACACUGGCACUGCGAUGUUGGGACGAGACUUGUUUGCAGCCUUGGAACUGCAGCUGUUAGAUGGCUUUAUUGUUACAUUGUCAUGCCGCACCAUAAAUUCAGCUGACGUUAGUACAGAUCCUGAGAAACAAGGAUUUACACACUUAGUCAAAGUUCGUGCCAACGUGAAACCAGUACAGCAGAAACUGCGCCGCCUUCCAUUUGCAGUCCGUGACGCUGUGUCACAGAAAUUACAGCGACUCAUUCAGCAGGAUGUGAUCGAACCGAUUGAAUCAUCAGAAUGGGUCUCACCAGUUGUGGUCACUAAAAAAAAGAUGGAAACAUACGACUUUGCGUGGAUUUGCGAGAACCAAAUAAGGCCAUAG
ensembl:lncRNA